CGGUGUCCUUCGGGGCCGAGCACAGGUGGUGCAUGGCUGUCGUCAGCUCGUGUCGUGAGAUGUUGGGUUAAGUCCCGCAACGAGCGCAACCCUUAUUCUAUGUUGCCAGCACGUAAUGGUGGGGACUCGUAGGAGACUGCCGGGGUCAACUCGGAGGAAGGUGGGGACGACGUCAAGUCAUCAUGCCCCUUAUAUCCAGGGCUGCAAACACGCUACAAUGGCCGGUACAAAGGGCUGCAAGCUCGUGAGAGUGAGCGAAUCCCAUAAAGCCGGUCUCAGUUCGGAUUGAAGGCUGCAACUCGCCUUCAUGAAGCUGGAGUUGCUAGUAAUCCCGGAUCAGCACGCCGGGGUGAAUACGUUCCCGGGCCUUGUACACACCGCCCGUCACACCACGAAAGUCGGCAACACCCGAAGCCGGUGGCCCAACCAAUUGGAGGGAGCCGUCGAAGGUGGGGUCGGUGAUUGGGGUGAAGUCGUAACAAGGUAGCCGUACCGGAAGGUGCGGCUGGAUCACCUCCUU
rnacentral:rRNA from 1 species